rnacentral:misc_RNA from 1 species
UUUCUGGCAAAUGCACAUGGGGACAUGAUAUGUCCGUUUUCAAUGACUUGUUGGUUAAACUUGUAACGUAGAAAAAAUGGGGUUAAAGCUAACUAAAUUAGGACAGAAAUCUACAUUUGAAAAUAAGCUCCACAUGAGUAUUUACGUUUCGUGUGGAUUAUUGGGAGCUGGGGAUGUUGUUUGCCAGGGAUGUGAAAUGUUGGUGAACAAGAAUCUCCAUCAGAAGUUCAACAGGAAUCGGACAGAGUCAAUGUUUCUAAUUGGCUUAGCGAUGGCUCCUUUUGGUCAAAUAUGGUACUUUAGAUUGAUGGAGAAGUUAAUACCUGGUGCACCCUGCAUGGAAAUUGCACUGAAGAAAGUUCUGGCAGAUCAGAUAGUUGCUGGGCCAGUAUUUAUUAGUUUCUUCCUUUUUGGUAAUUACAAAACUACAAAAUAGAACUGGCCAUCUCUCUGUCCUCUUGUUUGUGUCUCAUCUCUUAAAUUAUAAACAUAAGCUUUAAAUUAUAUCAAUUUAGGUUUUAUUUUUCAUACUAGGGAAAGAAUUACUCGAAGGUAGAGGUGGGUCAGUUGGGAUCACAGAGUUAAAAGACAAAUUUCUACCUCUGUACAUGGCUAGUUGGUUUGUUUGGCCUCCUGCUCAGCUCCUACUCUUCAAGUUUUUGCCUGCUGAACGACGUUUUAGAUACCUGGCAGGUGUAACAUUCUGCUGGAAUUUCUUCUUAUCCUGGUAUACACAUAAGGAUUUACCUUUGUAUAUUGGUAAAGAGAAGAAAAAAUGAAGAAAUUAAAAGUUCAUCAUAUGAUGCAUGAAUAAAUUUAUAUUUAUUGAAACAAUCAGAGAUAUUUGAAUGUUUGUGUGUGUGUUUGUGUAUGUACCAGAAAUAUGUGAAAUUCUGAAGACUUGGCAAAGAUUACAUGCUCCUGUAUUUGAGUCUAUAGGUUAACUGCAUUAUAGUUGAUGAUAUAUGAUUCAUUUUCAUCCAAAUAGUUGUAACAAUCUUGUAUGUAAUUCAAACUUUGUCAUUUUGUUUCUCAUGUUUUCGACGAUAUAUCAUACUAUAUUAAAAACAACUUAUUUUUAAGGUGGUAUGGGGCAUAUGUCAUUAUUAAUUUGGAUUAAAGUACAUUAUAAUUAAAAUCACAAUAUUUUACCAAAAACUAUGUUUCAAAAAUUUUUGGAAAGGUAAAAAUUUUAAUAUCCGCAGCAGGAUUCAAACUCAUGACUUACAAAUUCAUAGAGAAACCUUUAACAGUUGAUUUUAUUGUUUAUUUUGAUAUAUAAUAUGUCACAACAUGGAGGUGUCCCAUAUACCACCUUAAAAUCACAGAUUUAUUUUUAACACAAUGAUAAACCAUUUCAAACAUAUUUUUGUAAAAAUUACAUGUAAGGGAAUUAACCCUGGUUGUUCUGGAGAGAAAAGGAAGGAGUUAUUUAGUUAAACAAAUUAUGAAGCAAUUGUUGUAUCAAAUUUCUGUUACAGUACUUUACUUCCCUUUAUGUUGUUAUAAGUUUGUU